rnacentral:sRNA from 1 species
UCCAAUACGACAGCCGCCGACCGCGGGGC